rfam:Paenalcaligenes hominis strain 15S00501, complete genome.
AAGUCCCUGCCGUGUGCGAGACGUGGCCAUAUAUUCCUUGAACCAAUGCUUAUGGCAUUAGGUUGCUGGAUUAACAAGCAGGUGUGCACCGCUACUUUGUCUAGCGAUCCCGAAACUUGUUUGAUGGCAACCACCUUGUGAACUCUCGGUUCCCAGGAUGCCGGCCUUGACGCCACAGGUGGGGCAUUU